CUGAUCACCAUCCUGCCUCAGCUGUCAGUGGCAUGGCUUCCUUCUUAUUUUCUAACCUGAGUGUCCCUGAUUUGCUCUUUGCUCUCAUUAACAGGCCAGCGCAGGGCUGAGGGGCACCGAGAAGCACUGCCCUCACACCACUCCCCAUCGCAGGGGGCAGCAGGCCCUCCUUCACCCUUCGUCUCACGCUGUAUUUUUUGGAGUUGCCUUUAUCAGUUUAAGUCAGUGUGCUAAAACCGCAAGGAGAACUAGGUGUUGAAGGCGUGUCUUUGGAGCCUCUCUUGGCAGGCGUAUGAACGGCUCAGUGUCCUGCAGCACCCUUUGACCACUGUCUCAAAACCAUCGUUUCAUAUUUUAUCCCAUUUUUCAGCUGUUUCAAGUGGGAGAAUAAGUUGUGUCUGUAUUAUUUCACCAUGUUUGGAUGUGAUUAUCCACAGCAGUAUCAACUGACUUUGGAAUGGGAUUGGCAUACCGCUGGUUUUAGAGAAAUGCUUAUUCAUCUCAGCUUUGAAUUUAUUGGACAAUAAAAUUGCUAAAACCAACUUGCUGCAAAAUUAUUAAAUUUAACACGAUACGCAUCCCUGCAUAGAGUGGU